rnacentral:tRNA from 1 species
GGGCACAUAGCUCAGCUGGUUAGAGUGCUGCCCUCACAUGGCAGAGGUCGAAGGUUCGAGCCCUUCUGUGCCCA